GUCUUGAGUUGGUUGCCGCUCUUGGGAGAUUGUCUCCCCUUCCCUUAAACCAUUAUACGCUAUUAACAAUGUUGAUCGUGCUCUGGGCCGCAAGGCUAUUAAUAUAAUACAACUUUUACCAACGGAUCUCUUGGCUCUCGCAUCGAUGAAGAACGCAGCGAAAUGCAAUAAGUAAUGUGAAUUGCAGAAUUCUCCGAAUCAUCCAAUCUAUGAACGCGCCUUGCGCUCCAUGGUAUUCCGGGGAGCACGCCUGUUUCAGUGUACCGAAAUUUCUCAAGCUUGGACGGAUUUUUUGUCCGUCCCUUAAGAUUGGUUGUUGGGCUUUGCCGUGUCCUAAUUUGCUAGGGCUGGCCUUCAAAGCAUCCACUGAUCCUCGCGUGGCACUGGUUCUACUAAUCGUGAAAACAGUCUGAUAGCUGAUGACAUCUUUUGACACGCUCAGCUCUGAGUAGGGUUGCUUCU
rnacentral:misc_RNA from 1 species